AACAAAUGCGUGGCCCAAUCUUUCUUCUUUAUUUUCCUCACGAUCUGCCCCUUUUCUCCAUCUCACUUUCUCUUCAAUCCAUUUCUGUCUCCCGCAAUCUCACUCUACACCGGCAGCAUCUCCGAACGGCGACCCACACCCCUCGAACCCAGAUCUUGCAGCGGCGCGUCCUUUGAACGGCGACGAAUCUUCACGGCGGCGCCAUAGCAUGCAGCAGGUGGGGUCUUGAACGACGGCGAGCUCUGCAACAGCGACRAACCCAACGGCCUUUGAUUUCGUUGGAAACCAAGUGAUUAGUUUGAUACGACUUGCAUAUGAGCAAACUUGUAACACUAGGAGGCUUGGUUUUUGGAGGGAUUGUAUUGCAGUUUUUGGCGCACUUGUAGUUGGUCAGACGUUCACUAAUGAAUAUGGGAUCUAAUUCUUUGAGACGGCGRCGCUAUGCGGAGGACCCGCGGUAGGCUACUCUGGGAACAAAGGGAAAGCCUUGACCCGACAAACCAGAAACAGUCCGAUGACUUGGGAAGUCCUAGUUGUAAGGGCUCUUGAGCCUGGGCCUCCCAUUACCUUCGCAGACKAAUAAGCCAGUUYAGACAUUGAUCACRUCCCACACACUGAGUCUUGGUGGAUGAGGGAAGUUCGGCCAACAUCCUCACUCUAGGGGUGUUGCAAACCCUCGGAUGAGAUUCAACCAAGCUCAAGAGAUGCCCCGCCGCUGGUCGGCUUCUUCAGCGWGAAAGUUUAACCAGAAGGUAGCAUCAAACUACCACUAACCCUGGGAGAAGGAAAUGGAGCAUUAACCAUAGAAGAGUUCRUGGUUGUAGACGGUCCUUUAGCGUACGGUUAUUUUAUGUGUGGAAAAAAAAGAACAAAAAAUUAAUACAUACAAUAAUAAUCUUAUUAUUUUGUGAA